GAUAGGCGUCGACCGGCGCACGGGUGAGUAACGCGUAUCCAACCUGCCCAUCACUUGGGGAUAACCUUGCGAAAGUAGACUAAUACCCAAUGACGUCUCUAGAAGACAUCUGAAGGAGAUUAAAGAUUUAUCGGGUGAUGGAUGGGGAUGCGUCUGAUUAGCUUGUUGGCGGGGUAACGGCCCACCAAGGCGACGAUCAUAGGGGUUCUGAGAGGAAGGUCCCCCACAUUGGAACUGAGACACGGUCCAAACUCCUACGGGAGGCAGCAGUGAGGAAUAUUGGUCAAUGGACGAGAGUCUGAACCAGCCAAGUAGCGUGAAGGAUGACUGCCCUAUGGGUUGUAAACUUCUUUUAUACGGGAAUAAAGUCGAGGCCACGUGUGCCUUUUUGUAUGUACCGUAUGAAUAAGGAUCGGCUAACUCCGUG
rnacentral:rRNA from 1 species